AGAGUUUGAUCCUGGCUCAGGAUGAACGCUGGCGGCGUGCCUAAUACAUGCAAGUCGAGCGAACUGAUUAGAAGCUUGCUUCUAUGACGUUAGCGGCGGACGGGUGAGUAACACGUGGGCAACCUGCCUGUAAGACUGGGAUAACUUCGGGAAACCGAAGCUAAUACCGGAUAGGAUCUUCUCCUUCAUGGGAGAUGAUUGAAAGAUGGUUUCGGCUAUCACUUACAGAUGGGCCCGCGGUGCAUUAGCUAGUUGGUGAGGUAACGGCUCACCAAGGCAACGAUGCAUAGCCGACCUGAGAGGGUGAUCGGCCACACUGGGACUGAGACACGGCCCAGACUCCUACGGGAGGCAGCAGUAGGGAAUCUUCCGCAAUGGACGAAAGUCUGACGGAGCAACGCCGCGUGAGUGAUGAAGGCUUUCGGGUCGUAAAACUCUGUUGUUAGGGAAGAACAAGUACGAGAGUAGCUGCUCGCACCUUGACGGUACCUAACCAGAAAGCCACGGCUAACUACGUGCCAGCAGCCGCGGUAAUACGUAGGUGGCAAGCGUUAUCCGGAAUUAUUGGGCGUAAAGCGCGCGCAGGCGGUUUCUUAAGUCUGAUGUGAAAG
rnacentral:rRNA from 1 species